rnacentral:misc_RNA from 1 species
UUUUAAUAAUGUUAGUUUUUUGUUUAACUAAAUACCUAUAAGGCGUAAAAAUGAUAGAAUACUCAGAUCCAGAAUUUGAAAAGAAGCUGAUGCUCCUAAAAGACACUCAAGAUGCUAUUCAAUCAUUGUCUGCAUGGUGCCUUAAGCGACAUGAAUAUUACAAAAGCAUAAUCAGUAUCUGGCUAAAGGCUAUUCGGAAGGUGAAGAUCGAGAAACGUUUGACUUUGUUUUAUUUAGCCAAUGAUGUCAUACAAUAUAGUAAGAAAAAGAAUUACAAGUUUAUUGAUGGAUGGGCAACUGCUAUUCAAAAAGCUAUACCUUAUGUCAGAGAUGAAAAAAUACAAUCUAAAAUUUCAAGAAUUAUUAAAAUUUGGGAAGAACGUGGUGUUUAUGAUGAUAGUUAUUUAGCUGAUUUAAUUGGUUUAUUAACUACACCUAUUCAGAAGUUAAAAUUAGCUGAUCCUGUACAAGAGUUUCAAAUACAUGCAUUAGCAGUUAAAAUACGUUCGUGUGUUAAAUUGGAACAGAUUACAGAUUUAAAGAUGAAAAACUUAAGAGAAGCUAAUCUGCCUCUUACUAAUAAUGAAGCUAUACAAAACAUGUUAAAAGACCGAACACGGAGUCAUGAAUUUCUGAAUGAAUUAAAUGAUGGUAUGUCAAAAAUUGAAAGUUACAUUAAAUGCCUCAAACGAGAAACUAUUGAUCGUGCUCAANUAAUAGAUUCUUUAGAAGUUGCUACAUCUUAUUAUGAAGAACAAAAUGGCGAAGUUAAAACUGUUGCUCAAGCAUAUUUCAACUACACUAAAAGAGUAAAACUUCUAAAGAGUAAAUUGGAGUCCUUAGUUGGUUCUAUGCCAACUGAUAGUCCAAUGCCUUCACCUGAUAUUAAUGCACCAUCCCCUUCGACAUCUUCAGUGUCUAUUGAAGAUUUAAACAUGCAUAAUAUCAAUUAUGACACUGUAUUAAACUCUGAUAAAUAUACGAUGAAUUCUUCGAUGGAAAAUAGUAUUAAUGAUACUGAUAUUUAUGUGCCCACUACAGUUAUCAAUAAUAUCAAGUCAUAUAUUACUCCUGAAAAGUAUACUGCUGUUCAGGAAUUAUACGAUCCAGCUUCUGUGAAUUUUCCUGCGAUAGAAAAUCAAGAUCAACAAUCAUUAACUAGCCAGUUUCCAUAUGAUGCUCCAUCACCGCCUCCAGAUGAGACUUUUGCAUACUCNACAUUUCCCAAUCAAACAAAUGUAUCAUAUAGUAAUGAUAUGAAUGACCAUAAUAAAAGUUCUACAUAUUCUACAAGUAAUUAUGAAGCUUAUGUACCUACUCCAAUGUCAUCUAGUCAACAAUUUAUUACAUCUGAAUUCCCUAAUAUGGUACCUCCUACUGGUGCAUCAUCACUUAUAAAUGAAAAUGCUAUACCAGUAACUCAUGUUCCACAAACGGCUUGGGAUGUACCUGUAGAUAAUGAUUGGUCAACAAAUGACACACCGGCAUCACCUCCUUUUCAUGAGAAAAUCUCCUAUCAAAACACUCCUAUUAUCAGUAAAACCGANGGAGGACCAGGAAUAGAUCACUGUGUUUUAGCAUCAAAAAUAAUAGAUAGAGAUGAACGAAUUUCUCAAGAAAUUAUGACUAAAACUUCUGAUAUUGACCACAGAAACUUAAUAAGUUUGACACAUUCUCCUCAUAUGAAUUCAUCAGUGGUAUCUGUUGAUGUAGAUUACCGAGCAUUUCCUGGUAUUCCUAUGCCACCAUCACCACCGGCUUUGCUUAUGGAAGCAGUCAGUAAACCGCCAAAAGAUAAUGUAGAAAGUGUUGAUAUGGAUUUGAGUGAUGAUGAUGAAAAACCUAAAUCAAAUCAUGAUCAAAAACAUCCUGUACUAUUACCUCCACCACUUCCACCACCUAUGCCUUUUGACUUUGACCAACAAAGUGUACCAGAUAUUACAAACCAUUGGGAACAACCUUCACAACCAUGGAGUAAUGAUAGACCCAGUUUUAAUGAAAACCAGUGGAAUAUGGAGCAAUCUGAUCAAUGGAAACAUCCUAACCAGUGGGAACAAGAACAAAGUGAUUCAAACUUUGUAAACAAUCAACCUCAACUUCAGUGGCCUCAACAUGUUCAGAGAAGUCAAUCCCAAGGAGAUUUUAGGCCAAAAUGGAAGAGAGGAAUAAGUAAUUGGCCAAGAGGCCCUAGAAAUUUCAUUCCACAUUCUAGACCUACCGGUAGAUGGAAUCAGGGACCCCGUUUUGGACCGAGGAAUCAACCUUGGUAACUGGAUAUCUACAAUUUUGCCAAAAACGUGGAAGUAUGAUUAUGACGAAGAAUGAAUAAUUUAAAUGAUACAUUUGUAGUACUAUAUACAAGCACAAUUUGGUGGAAAGGCUCAGCCAUCAGAAUACCUUGGUUAUUAUUUAACUCCCUUCUUCAAUCAUGUUUACUUAAUACAUGAUAUA